UACGGGGGGGCAAGCGUUGUUCGGAAUUACUGGGCGUAAAGGGCUCGUAGGUGGCCAACUAAGUCAGACGUGAAAUCCCUCGGCUUAACCGGGGAACUGCAUCCGAUACUGGAUGGCUUGAAUUCGGGAGAGGGAUGCAGAAUUCCAGGUGUAGCGGUGAAAUGCGUAGAUAUCUGGAGGAACACCGGUGCGAAGGCGGCAUCCUGGACCAACACUGACACUGAUGAGCGAAAGCCAGGGAGCAAACGGG
rnacentral:rRNA from 1 species